rnacentral:rRNA from 1 species
GAUGAACGCUAGCGGCAGGCCUAACACAUGCAAGUCGAGGGGUAGAAGGAGCUUGCUCCUUUGAGACCGGCGCACGGGUGCGUAACGCGGAUGCAAACUACCUAGUACAGGGGAAUAGCCCAGAGAAAGUUGGAUUAAUGCCCCAUAGUAUAUAACCUUCGCAUGUUGGUUAUAUUAAAGUUCCAACGGUACAAGAUGAGCAUGCGUCCCAUUAGUUAGUUGGUAAGGUAACGGCUUACCAAGACGAUGAUGGGUAGGGGUCCUGAGGGGGAGAUCCCCCACACUUGUACUGCGGCCCGGACCAGACUCCUACGGAAGGCAGCAGUGUGGAAUAUUGGGCACUGGUCGCAAGACUGACCCUGCCAUGCCGCGUGCAGGAGGCCGGUCCUAUGGAUUGUAAUCUGCUUUUAUACAGGAAGAACCCCUCCCACGUGUGGGAGCUUGACGGUACUGUAGGAAUAAGGAUCGGCUAACUCCGUG